rnacentral:lncRNA from 1 species
GGGGCAGCAAGGUGAAACCAGGGAUGCGGUGGUGAUGAGGUCAUACCUGCAUGUGUGUGUGUGUGUGUGUGUGUGUGUGUGUGUGUGUGUGUGUGUGUGUGUGUGUGUGUGUGUGUGUGUGUGUGUGUGUGUGUGUGUGAGGAUUUGGUUCACAGCCCUGUGAGGCCUCAUCAGCACUGAUGUCAUGGGAAACUAAUAUGAAGCUCAUCUCUGCUGUUUGUGAGCUCUCCUUAUUUCCUUGUUGUAAUCUGAGGGCCACAUAAAAGCUUCAGCUCGAAACUCCUGAAUAAAAACACAGCUCUGAGGGAGCUCCACCGUAGUGGACCGAAGAAGAAAACACUCAGUGAAAACGUACACCAACUUUGACAAGAUGUAAAUCAUUACACGUCUUUUGAUGUUCCUCCGCUCGCUUCCUCUCCGUCUCCUCUCCUUGUCUUCGUUACUCAUCAUUCCUGCUGACGGUAAACAUUGUGAACUGAUCCCCGCUGCUUUCCAGCGGGAACGCGGGGCCCCCUUUCUGCGCGGCGCGUUGGAAACAGAUCAGCUCGGAGCAGCCGGGGAACAUGAAAGGAGGGCGCUGACUACGGGGGAUGAGCGCAUUCCUCCACGACCCGCCGCCGCUGCCGCCGCUGGCCUGUGGCCGCACAGGGGAGCUCACAGCGAGGAACGCCGUUGCCUCAAAUCAGUGAGGGCCAGAACCACGUUUGCAUAAGUGGCCCCCACCAACAGGCGCCGCCCCCCCGGCCCGCUCCGGCCUCAGGCGUGCCGAGCAGAGACCCAGGCCAACUCGCCGGUCCCGUCCCCGACCGCCUGCUCUCCACCGCUGCUGGGUUCGACUCACCGUCACCUCUGACCUCCCGUGCUCCGCCGCCUCCCCCACACAUGCAAAUAGCGCCGGUCUGCUCCCGGAGGCAUCGGAAGAAAAAGCGGACAAAAAAAAAAAAAAAAGGAGCGGGCCGGACGGAGGAAAGGAGGAGAGGGAAGGAGGAAUGACGUGGAUGGAGAGCUGGGGGUGGAGAGAGAGCGAGAGGAAGCGGCAGCGUCUCGCUCUCUGAAGUGCGGAGCAGUGGAGGGAGGCGGCGGCGGCCGCCCGGGAAGCCUCCGCUUCACAGCCCCGCGCUCGGGCCUCCAAACAUCUCCUUCUCUGUUUCAGCCAGCCAAAAUGGACCCCGGCGCCCGUGUCUGCGAGGCUGGCGCUGACCCGCGCUGAUCUCCGCGUGCGCGCUCGGUGAGUGUGCGAGGGAGAAGCCAGCGCGAGCGGGCGCAGCUCGCUGUACUCAUUGUUUUCCUUGCUCCCGGGCCGCUCCAGGCGCCGCGGCUGGUGUGUGCGGCGAGGUGCGAGAUGUGUGCGGCUGUAUCUGGAGAGCCUCCAAACCCCCCCAUCCCCUCCCUCUCCCUCUCUCCCUCUCGCUCUCCUCCUUCUGUUCUCUCUGCUUGGAGGAUCUGUCAGUUCUCCUUCUCUCUCUCUGUCCCCGCUUUGAUCCUGCUCUCCAAGCCUUGGCUGGCCUCGCUAACAGCAGCUGAGCACAGGUCCUACUCCACUCCCACUAAUAACACGCUGGGAUGAUGCGCGUCCACACACGCACGCACACGCACGCACACACAUAUAUACACACGCACAUUCACGCACACACACACACACACACGCACACACGCACGCACACACGCACGCACACACACACACACACACACACACACACACACACACACACACACACACACACACACACACACACACACACGCGCUGCUCCUCCUCUCUCGCACGCUCCCAAAUCGGUAGCGGCUGCGCUAUCGCCGGGCGCUAUCUGUUUUCUGUGACCUUGCGCUCACGCUGUGAUGUGCAGCUCGGGUGAUGGGUCACCGCAUUCUGACUUACCGUGGGUGGUGAUAGAGCCUCUGAUUGCAGCCUCAUUGUGACUUCUUGUACAUACAGUGUAAUGUGUGUGUGUGUGUGUGUGUGUGUGUGUGUGUUUUUAACACAAACACGUGUAGGCAAAUGCUCUUGCUGCUUUAAUAAGGUUUUGUCAUAUUUAGGGCCUUCUUUGUGUAUGACUCAUGAUAUUGGGCAUAUUUACCCUGCUGCCAUUUCCCAGCAUCUUCACUUCUGCAGCCUUUCAGAAUGAGGUUGUAAAUACCGGAAAAUGCUUCUCCUUAUUUGCUGUUAAACUCAUUGGCUGACGAGCGGUCACUCUGCACACACUCAGCUCCUAAAGCAAUGGAAACCAUUCCCGGUCACUCGUGGAGCGCGGCAUUCACACUGGGAGCAUCGCUCGGCCGCUGCGUGGCAGCCACCCUCAGUCAGGAAGCGGCAGCCGCCCCCAGGCUGGCGGUGACACCACGGCCAGAGAGGAAGCUUCAAUGCCAGCAUAGACACACACACACACACACACACACACACGGCCUCAUGGCACCAGGAGCGCCUAUCGACACCGUUCACCAAUGGUUAACGCAUUAAAGCAUGAGCAGCGGGUGACAGCGGGCCAGAUUGUUUUGUGAGUGCGAUAUCUCACACUUUCACACAGCUUCAGCUCCACAAUCUCCCUGUCUAAUUGCGUUAUUGCGGCGCGUAGAGGUCCAUGGUCUAGAGGGCUCCAUAAAGAUAUGAGUCCUGGGAGAGGUGGAAUGGCAAAAGAGGAAGACUGAGAUAAAGAGUGGGGGCAAUAGAAGGAGUGAUAAGAGGGCGAUAGAGAUCAGAGGGAGUGAGAGCUGGUGCGUGAGACAGGUGAGGGGGUCACAGCCAUGGAGGCCGAUGAGCCCGGGUUUCUAAAAAUAAAAAAAAUUAAAUGGAUUGUUUCCCUGACUGC